GAUGAACGCUGACAGAAUGCUUAACACAUGCAAGUCUACUUGAACUUCGGUAUGGGCGGCGGCCGGGUGAGUAACGCGUACAGAACUUGCCUCACAGAUAGGGACAACAUUUGGAAACGAAUGCUAAUACCUGAUAUCAUAAUUUUAGGGCAUCCUAGACUUAUGAAAGCUAUCGGCACUGUGGGAGAGCUUUGGGGCCCAUUAGCGAGUUGGAGAGGUAACGGCUCACCAAGGCGAUGAUGGGUAGCCGGCCUGGGAGGGUGAUCGGCCACAAGGGGCCUGAGGCAGCGCCCGUACGCAAUCGUGAAGCAGGAGUGGGGAAUAUUGGACGAUAGACCAAGAGUCUGAAGCAGCAAUUCUGUGUGCAAGAUGAAGUUUUUCGGAAUGAAAAGCGGUUUCAGUUGGGAAGAAAAAAAUGACGGUACCAACAGAAGAAGUGACGGCUAAAUACGUG
rnacentral:rRNA from 1 species